UGUUUCUAGAAAAGACCUGCAGGAAAGAGCCUUCUGUUUUCCCUUAGCUGGGACAUGAAGCCAACCAACAUCUCAGUGCUUGUGAUGAUCUUCACCCUCAGAGGAAUGUUGGCCCAGACAGUGACUCAACCUGAGGACCUCGUCUCUGUUUUUGAAGGGGAUCCUGUGCAGUUGAGGUGCAACUACUCAUAUUCUGGAAGUCCUGUUCUCUCCUGGUAUGUCCAGUAUCCCAGACAAAGCCUCCAGUUACUCCUGAGACACAUCUCAGGAGAGAGAAUCAGAGGUUUCAUGGCUGACCUUGACAAGGGCAAGGCGUCCUUCCACCUUAAGAAGCCCGCAGCUCAUGAGGAAGAUUCAGCCAUGUAUUACUGUGCUCUGAGUGGCACAGUAACUGGUGUUGCAUGGGAAGUACAAUACAAACCCUUUAGGGGUUGCAGAAAAUGUUUUUUUAUAAGCCUCUAUCAGGCUACAGUGCAGUAUUCCUUUCUCUAGAGACUGAUACUGAAUUUGUCUCUUAGACACAAUAUUUUCAGUUGUCAACAAGCU